rnacentral:rRNA from 1 species
UACACACCGCCCGUCACGCCAUGGAGGCUGGGGGGACCUGAAGUCGGUGGGCUAACCGCAAGGAGGCAGCCGCCAAAGGUCAAUUCAGUGACUGGGGCGAAGUCGUAACAAAGGUACC